rnacentral:rRNA from 1 species
UUAGAAUUGACGGGGCCCGCACAAGCAGUGGAGUAUGUGGUUAAUUCGAAGCAACGCGAAGAACCUUACCAGGGCUUGACAUCCCUUGAAGCAGCUAGAGAUAGCUGUGUCCUUCGGGACAAGGAGACAGGUGGUGCAUGGUUGUCGUCAGCUCGUGUCGUGAGAUGUUGGGUUAAGUCCCGCAACGAGCGCAACCCCUGUGGUUAGUUGCCAGCAAGUAGCGUUGGGCACUCUGGCCAGACUGCCGGUGAUAAAUCGGAGGAAGGUGGGGACGACGUCAAAUCAUCAUGCCCUUUAUGUCCUGGGCUACACACGUACUACAAUGGCCGUUACAACGGGAAGCGAAGGAGCAAUCCGGAGCAAAUCCCUUAAAGCCAAUCUCAGUUCGGAUUGUAGGCUGCAACUCGCCUACAUGAAGUCGGAAUCGCUAGUAAUCGCGGAUCAGCACGCCCGCGGUCGAAUACGUUCCCGGGCCUU